GUUAAACAAAAUAGUUCGCGAAUUGAUAGAUAGUAUCAAUACUUUGGGAUGAAUUUUGUUUAGCGUUUAAGUGAUAAUAUUCUAGUUCGGAUUACACGAGCUUUAAACACGUGCUAGAAGUGAAUUUAUUCAAAUUAAGUGGUUUAUUUCAAAUUAAGUAUAUUUUCAAAAUGCCUGUUGCAACUACAGAAGCUUCCGACAAAUCCAAAUCUGGAUAUCAAAAAAUAUGCCCAGAAGAACAGAAAGACACAAAGAAGUGCAAAUUUAACGGAGUUGAUAAAAAUGCAACUGUGAUAGAUGACAAUGAAAAAGAUCCCCUAAAUAAUGAAGUCUCUAGUCAGCCAGAUAUAGUCAUACCUCCGGAUGGCGGAUGGGGGUGGCUGGUAGUUUUAGGAUCGUUUAUGUGUAAUUUAAUAGUCGACGGGACCAUUUUCUCUUUUGGAACAUUCCUUAAAAUAAUUAGUAAAGAAUUCGAUGCUGAUCCUGCUGAUGUGACACUGGUUGGAUCAUUGAUGUCUGGAUUUUAUCUAAUAGCUGGACCGUUUGUAAGUGCAAUUGCAAAUAGAUAUGGAUUCCGAAUCGUAGUGAUAUUUGGCGGUCUUCUUAGUGCUGCAGCAUUUGCCCUCUGCUACUUUGCUACCAGUGUUACUUACCUUUGUGUGCUCUACGGUGUUAUAGGAGGUAUUGGUUUUGGUUUCAUCUAUGCUCCGUCUAUAAUAAUCCUGGGAUUCUAUUUCGAAAGAUGGAGAGGAUUAGCGACAGGAAUUGCUGUGUGUGGAUCUGGAAUAGGAACAUUUGUCUACGCUCCAAUGACAGACAUUGUGAUCACUAAGUUCGGUUGGAGAGGAGCAAUGUUGGUUCAUGCUGCUUUGAUUUUAAUAUGUGCCUUAUCUGGGAUUUUAUACAGGCCCCUGAAAGCUAUGAAGAUCGAUUCUGCCACUGAACCUCUUAACCAACCGGAACCAGAGUUCAAAGUACCCGUUGUAGCUCAGCAAAAGUUGGAACUAGCCAUGAGGAUGAUGAAACGAGGCUCAGACGCAGGAUCUGUAGUCGAUCAUCAAUCGUCAAUUCCAAGACUAUUAGGUGUAAACAACAACUCCGUCUAUCCAAGAGUGUCAGAUGUCUACCACACUAUCUGUGUUCCAAACGGUACCGUUACGUCCAAGCAAACACCCCAUUUGGCUUGGACCAGAGAGAGAAGUAAGACUGAAGGAAAACUGCAAGUAUCACAUCUCCACAAGUUGAAGCGAAUGAGAUCUGUAGACAAACCAUCCGAAGUUACUCGUCCUCUCUACAGAGAAGACAUUUUCUUUAAUCAAAGCCUAAAACAUCUACCUCAAUACACUUCGCAAACGUCCGUAGAAUACAAUUUAUCGGUUACUAGAGCACCCACUAAAAACGAUAUCGAAGAAGAAAAAACCCAUAAGUGUAUGCUUUGCCCAGAAGCUUUCCGAAGAGUCCUAGCUACGAUGUUAGAUCUGAGCCUGUUCCAGUCACCCACAUUUAUAGUUUUAGCCGUAGGAGGUUUCUUUACAAUGAUGGGAUUCUUCGUGCCUUAUAUGUUCUUGGUCGACAGAGCCAAAAAUGCCGGUAUCGAAAACGCAGUAUGGCUAGUUUCUUCCAUCGGUAUAGCCAAUACUGUCGGUAGAAUGUUUUAUGGACUGCUAACCUCACUCCCUAAGGCAAACGCUCUGGUAAUUACAAAUAUUGCGUUAACAGUAGGCGGACUGGCUACAAUAUUCAGUGGAUUAUCUUUGACCAGAGAAUACCAAUUCACUUAUUGCGUCGUAUUUGGACUUGCGAUAUCAAGUUUCGCAGCUAUUCGAUCGGUAGUAGUAGUGGAUCUUCUUGGUCUCGAAAAACUCACCAACGCCUUUGGACUUCUGCUGAUGUUCCAAGGAAUUGCAGCAAUUAUGGGUGCUCCUUUAGCGGGUACCUUCAUGAAAGCCACUGGAAGCAUUGACGCUUGUUUCUAUUUCUCAGGAGGACUCAUUUUGUUCUCCGCUAUUUUGUGUUAUCCUCUUAAUUGGAUUAAUACAUGGGAAAAACGACGACAUCUAGAAACUAAGUCUUCGCUAGUUUGAUAUUUAUUUUUAUAGUAGUUUUAGGAUAUUGAGAACUUUCUGUUAGAGAAAGAUGAAUGAUUAAAUUAUUGUCGUAUGCAUAGAGUAUCUUUCGAGGUAGAAAAACUCGCAUGCAAUCUAGUACUGGGUUUGAAUGAUACUACUCGUUUUUGCCUUUAAAUAAAUUGGUACUAAUAAGGAAAUAUUGAAUAGUACUGAGAAUGCAUCACCAGUGAGAUUACAAUAGUGCAGAUAAAAAAGUAUUAAUUCUAUAAAUAUUUGGAUUUUAUGGAAAAAAGUAGAAAGUUAAUGAAUGGAAUAUAGUAGCAGCUGGCCAAGGUAGUAAAGGAAUAAAAUACUGAUUGUGAACAGAAAUAAACCAGGCAAAGAUUAUCAUUGAUUAGGAGAAUAACAUAAUACAACGUUCAAUUAAAAUUUUUGUACUUAACUACUAAAGAGAAAAAUUUAUAAGAUUCUAUGCGAAUUUUUCGCUUCUCGGUGAGCAGUAUGAGACGUAUAAUGUACAUAUAGAUUAUAUAGGCUAAAUUUAAGUAGGACAAUCGUUGUCUUUGUUUAUAUAAAUUGUACAUAUUAAUGAUAAGACUUUUAAAAUCGCCGUUUGUACAAAUAUUAACAGAUUUGGAAAUUUUCCUUUGUUGGAUAAAUGGUAUUUUAUUAAACCCCACAAUGUAGUUCGUAAAUAUUUAAAUAUUUAUUACUUAGAUACUUAUAUUCCUAAUUUUUGUUAUCAAUUUUUAUUUGUUUAUUGACUAUUUUGCUCGAGAUUAUAUAGAAAGAUGGUUAUUAAUGAAAAAGUAUAUUUUCUAAGAAAUGGACUGAUUGUUUGAAAUAGACUGAUUUUUCAUAUUUAUCGAGUUCUGUGCAACUUUUUCUAAAUCAGG
rnacentral:misc_RNA from 1 species